AUAUACUUUAAAUAUACUGGUGUGCUGCAGUCCAUGGGUUGCAAAGAGUUGGACGUGAAUGAGUGACUGAACAACAUACUUUAUAAGUUAUAGCACAUUGACUGAUACCCAAAUUAAAAGAUACUUGGUCCAAAAAGACAAUGAUUAAAGUUUUCACUUGUUCACUGAAACCAUACCUCAGUGCUAAUUGGAGGUAUAUGCUAAUAAAUACUUGGUUAAGUAGUGAUUAUGUAUGUAUUUAUUUUUAAGUAGUGAUUAUAAAAAGAGAAAAGAGACAGAUAUUUAGUUGCCCAAUUAUAAUCUUCUGUUAGACUUAUCUGUGCCUUUUUGUUUGUCCCUAUUAUGGAAGAACAGUAAAAACCAUGGUGAAUGAAUCUAGACAGGAGCUUCUUGACCCUAACGGUGCUACAAUCUAUAUAGGAUUAUGCUUAGGUCACUCAGACUAACACUCAAAGGACCAUCUAUCAUGCUGAAGGUUAUUCGGCUUGACCUUAGACACUGAAAGUCAGGGGGAGAUGUGCUAAGUUUUAAGUUCCUUCCGAUGUUAAAAAAAAAAAAAUCUUAUACAGAGAGAUUAUGUUGUAGUUCUUACCUUUCCCUGGAGGCUUUGUGGAUAAUGGAAUGACAGAUUGGGAAUAAACUUACGUCUAGUUUUUACUCAGGUCAUAGGUAUUAGGUACUACUGGAAUAGAAUGUAGUGUAGCCAAAAAAAAAAAAAAAAAAAAAAAAACCAAAAAACAGACUGGCAACCACUUCUUUCAUCUAUUCAUAACGACUAUUACAAAGGUCAAUUUUGUUAUCAAAAUUCCAGAACUGACAUCAUGGCUUUCAUCAAACUUAAAAACUUUCAGCCUCAACCAGUAUAUACCGAAGCAAUUCAAGUCUUAACUCCUCAAAGUUACUUAUCAUGUUUCUCAUGUCCUGUCUCUGAAUCACUGAUUCUACACUCCAUCGCUGAGUUGCUCAGAGUGGUCGUCGGAUGGAUGAGGGAUUGAGAACUGCCUAAGGUUACUUGACUUCUUAUGCUCCUUCUGUAACCUCAAAGCUGAAGAAAAAACAGGCCUGAAGAGAAGCAAGUUGCCUGAGAUCACCCAGGUAGUAACUGACAGCUGUGACCUGAAUAAAGAUGUCUGCCUAGGCUUAUGCUUUUAAAUGUUAAGCUACUUUAUCUAUUACCUUAGUAGUUAAUUCAUACCAAGUUCUAAGCACUGUUCUCCUAAGCAUUUGGUUUAUUAAAUAUAACUUGAAAGUGGCCAGAACAUAAGAAAUGGCCACAGAGAGAUUAUAUUGUGUCUUUUUCAGACAGGAAUAAUUUAUAAUAUUAAUUUUUGUACUUUAGGUUGCAUUUAGAAAAAUAAUUAGUAACAAAACAUUUAAAAUAUUAUCCUAUGAACCCAGAUAGUCAUGAAGGUAUUUGACUCUGUAUUAUUAUUACUACUUUUCUUUUUUUAACUGGAGUGGGUUGCCAUGCCCUCCUCCAAGGGAUCUUCCU